rnacentral:lncRNA from 1 species
UGUGGGCUCGCCCUUGUCUAGAAACUUUGAUUGAUUGAUGAACAUCAACAGGUUGGGCCACGUGAAAUUAUAUGAAAUACAACCACAUAAAGAGAGAGAUGAGUCAAUAUUCCCAUAUUUCUAGUUUGUCUAGUUUAAUUUUAAUAUUUCCAAUGACUAACAAACGACAUUUGUAUCAUCAAGUUAUUUUUAUAGAUUCAGCAUUGAGUAUCCAAGUUCUAUCAUUCAGCGGCGAACAUGCCACUUCCUAAAGA